rnacentral:rRNA from 1 species
CUACGGGGGGCUCCAGUGAGGAAUAUUGCACAAUGGAGGAAACUCUGAUGCAGUAACGCCGCGUGGAGGAUGACGCAUUUCGGUGUGUAAACUCCUUUUAUAUGUCAAGAAAAUGACGGUAGCAUAUGAAUAAGCACCGGCUAACUCCGUGCCAGCAGCCGCGGUAAUACGGAGGGUGCAAGCGUUACUCGGAAUCACUGGGCGUAAAGGACGCGUAGGCGGGAUAUCAAGUCAGGUGUGAAAUCCUACAGCUUAACUGUAGAACUGCACUUGAAACUGGUAACCUAGAGUAUGGGAGGGGGAGAUGGAAUUAGUGGUGUAGGGGUAAAAUCCGUAGAUAUCACUAGGAAUACCUAAAGCGAAGGCGAUCUCCUGGAACAUAACUGACGCUAAGGCGUGAAAGCGUGGGGAGCAAACAGGAUUAGAAACCCCCGUAGUC